UCGAAUGUUAAACAAUGGGGGAUGUUGCUGAUCCAUCAUGGAUAAUGUGCACUCCUCUGAAAUAUUCAAAUCCACCUGUGCACAUUGAGUAGGCAAACAGAUUGAGUUCUGUGGGCCUAUGUUACUUGUAUAAUCCUGUGAAAGAUGGUAUAUAUGAAAAGAAUAUUA
rnacentral:misc_RNA from 1 species